CGCGCGCGGGGCUAGGCGGUGGGGCUGAGGCGGUUCUUGGGCGGGACCCCUGUUGGGGCCCCGCCCCAGUCUCCUCCCUAGCAGGGCCGGACCCGCCCUCCGAGCGCAGCUCCGCAGCCCGCCACCGGGUAAGGCCGGGCGGGUCCCUUCUCGCUCCCGGCUCCUCAGAAGCAAUCCAGCGCCUGCGAGCCACGGCAAGCAGGGCUGUCCUUGCCCCGCGGUUUUGGGGGAUCUCUCCCCCCUACAAGAGGGCCUCCUAAUACCGGGUGUGAGAGAAGAGGGCGAGGGCUUUCUGGUGUGCCCAGGCCAUCUCAGCCCGGAGAGGCCAGAAGAAGGCCAGACUUGAUGCUUUUAUACGAUCAUAGCAGUCUUUUGCCAAAAGGACUUUCUGUAUUUGGAGCGGCGUAGUUGUGUAUUUUAUAAACGUACAUUUCUUGUUUUUGCCCGAGAGCUGUUGAGCUCUUUGUGGGCGGGGUCCUUCAGCCCCUCACAGUGCGGUCGCCCCUCCCCCUCCCUGAGAUGCACCUGCGGACUCUACCCAACCAGCGGUAAAAUUCCCUGAAGACUGACUGGAAGAUGUUCUGGUGGCUCAGGGAGGAGAGUCUUUGAUACUUAUGGUAAUCUGACUCAGGACUGUAUUCUCAACUCCCUUACCUUAGAUCACGAAGAACAAACGGACCCAGCGUCAAGUGGGCAGCUUCUGCUCCAUUGAGCUGAUUGUUCCAUUAUGAGAAUGUUAGCCCAAUGUUGACAGAUAUUUUGUUUUUUUUCUUUUUAAAGGAAAUCUGGGGGGGGGGUUGUGUGUAAAAUCUCCAGGUGUUGGCAACUAAAUCAGAUGUUUUAAAACUGCAUGAGCUGAUUAAGCCGCACGUGGGGGCUGUCAGUUUAUAAGACCUCUGACUUGGAGGAAAGAGUGAAGAGAAGUUCCAAGGCCAAAUCCUAGGCACUCCAGCAUUUAGAGAUAGGGUAAUGGAGAAGGAGACUGAGAAGGAACAGCCAGGUAGACAGAAGGAAGUCCACAGUGUUGAAUUUGGAAUCCAAGGGCAGAGAAGGAUUCAGGUAGGAGGGGAAUGGUCAACUGUGUUUAGUGCUGCUGAGGGGUAAACUUGGGCCAGAAACAUGGAUAUAUUGAAUUGGUCACCUUGGAAGACGAGAUUAUCAUUGGUGACUUUGGCUUGAUUCAUGUUGGUAAAUCAGAGGUGUGGACCUGACUAGAAUGGGUUGAAGAGUGAACAGGAAAGUGAGGAAAUAGAGACAGCACACAUAGGCAACAUGAGAGAAGCUUAGCUGCGAAGGGAGCAAAUUCAGGGAUAAAUGUGGAAGGAUAUGGGGUUAAGAGAGGAUGAAAGAAUUCUAGAGCAUGUUCUAAAAGAUGAAAGGGUUCUAGAGCAUGUUUAUUUGUCAUUGGGAGUGUGAUACAGGAGAGCGAAGCCUUGCUUGACUUUUUUUUUUUCCUGCGCCACAGGGCUUGCAGGAUCUUAGUUCCUUGACCAGGGAUUGAACCCAGGCCCACAGGAGUGAAAGAGCUUAACCACUGGCCUGCCAGGGAAUUCACUUGCUUGACUUAAACCAGGGUGAAGUUCAUGGGAGGAUAUAAGGAAACUGGGAGGAUUGACCCUGGAUAGAAACAGGAUGCUUCCACUGUAGGAAUUAGGGUAACAAGGGUGAAGAUGGGUGCAAAUGCAGGGGAGAGAGAAAGCAAGCUUGCAGUUUUCCUAGUGGGACUGCCUUGGUGGUAUGGGGUACCCAUUUGAAGUUUGUGAUCAUGAGUUUAAAGUUAAACCAGUUGGCCCAGUGUGCGGUUUUUCUCUAAGCAACAUUCAGCUGCUUGGGUACAGACAUGAAAAGGGAUAAUUUGGUUUCUCAGCACCAACACCCAAGUUUUCUGAUUUCUAGUAAUAGGUACUUGCCUUAUGAGAUUAUUUACUAUUCUAGAAAUGUGUGAAGUAUCUGGAAAAUUUACCUGUGAUCCCUUUUUCUAGAAACCAAAUUAUUCCAGUAGUCUCUUAUGUACACCUGAGGACUCAAGCAUAAAGAAAAGGCAAACUUAGAGAAAAAUUACCAGACACCUCUGGAAUAUUUGCAUUUUGCAUUUUUUUCAGCCCUCCACUCCAAACAGCUCCUGGUAUACUUAGGAACUAUGUACUGGAAACAAAGCUGACUUACACUUUAAUGCUUAGCUUCUUUUCUUUCUGGUACCUUUAAUAAUCUGACUAAUUCGCUUUCUAAGACCUUGCCUCAAACCAUCUUAUCUUUAAGCUUCAAGGGUGUCUUCUAGUACUUCCCUGGUGGCGCAGCAGUUAAGAAUCUGCCUGCCAAUGCAGGGACAUGGGUUUAAGCCUUGGUCCGGGAAGAUCCUACAUGCCGCGGAGCAGCUAAGCCCGUGCGCCACAACUACUGAGCCUGUGCUCUAGAGCCCGCGAGCCACAACUACUGAAGCCGGCACACCUAGAGCCCGUGCUCCGCAACAAAAAGAAGCCAGCGCAAUGGGAAGCCCACGCACCACAAUGAAGAAUAGCGCCCGCUCGCUGCAACUAGAGGAAGCCCGCGUGCAGCAACAAAUGCCCAACGCAGCCAAAAAUAAAUAAAUAAAUUUAUUUUUUAAAAAAAGAAUGUCUUCUUUAUGUUUAUUUAUUUUUUUUCAUACUAGUCAUCCAUUUUAUCCACAUAAGUGUAUACAUGUCAAUCCCAAUCUCCCAAUUCAUCACCCCACAACCUCCCCCCCACACCCGCUUUCCCCCCUUGGUGUCCAUAUGUUUUUUCUCUACUUCUGUGUCUCAAUUUCUGCUCGGCAAACCGGUUCAUCUGUACCAUUUUCUAGGUUCCACAUAUAUGCAUAUAUAUAUAUAUAUUCACUCUGUAUGACAGUCUCUAGAUCCAUCCACAUCUCUACAAAUGACCCAAUUUCGUUCCUUUUUAUGGCUGAGUAAUAUUCCAUUGUGUCUAUGUACCACAUCUUCUUUAUCCAUUAGUCUGUUGAUGGGCAUUUAGGUUGCUUCCAUGACCUGGCUAUUGUAAAUAGUGCUGCAAUGAACAUUGGGGUGCAUGUGUCUUUUUGAAUUAUGGUUUUCUCAGGGUAUAUGCCCAGUAGUGGGAUUGCUGGGUCAUAUGGUAAUUCUAUUUUUAGUUCUUUAAGGAAACUCCAUACUGUUCUCCAUAGUGGCUGUAUCAACUUACAUUCCCAUCAACAGUGCAAGAGGGUUCCCUUUUCUCCACACCUCUAAAGCAUUCAUGUGUUUAAAUAUAAGGCAAUGUAUUUAUUUAUUGAUUUAUUUAGUUUGGCUGCGCCCAGUCUUAGUUGCGGCAUGCAGGAUCCUUUUUAGUUGCGGCAUGCAGACUCUUAGUUGUGGCAUGCAUACAGGAUCUAGUUCCCCAACCAGGGAUGGAAUCCGGGCCCCGUGCAUUGAGAGCACAGAGUCUUACCCACUGGACCACCAAAGAAGUCCAAGGCAAUGCAUUUAGAUGGCAAAAACCCUCAAUUGUAUUUACAAUUAUAUUUACAACUGCUAAGGUCUGAAUAUGUGUCCUCCUCAAAAUUCGUAUGUUGAAAUCCUAAUGCUAGAUGUGAUGGUAUUAGUAAGUGGGGCCUUUGGGAGGUGCUUAAGUCCUGAGGGCAGAACCGUCAUAAAUGGGGCUAGUGCCUUAUAAAAGAAGUUUCAUAGAGCUCCUAGCCCCUUCCACCAUGUGAGGACAUGGCAAGAAGGCACAGCUAUGAACCAGGAAAAGGGCCUUCACCAGAAUAUGACCAUGUUGGUGCCUUGACCUCAAAUUUUCCAGCCUCCAGAACUGUGAACAGUAAACAUCUGCUGUUUAUAAGCCACCCAGUCAGUGGUAUUUUGUUACAGCAGCCUGAAUGGACUAAGACAACUACUAUAUUUAUAUUAUAUCAACUAUAAUUACAACUAUAUGACCUCUGAGGCAUCAGUUAGAAACCAGGAAUGGGGUCCAAGUGGCCUUGGAGCCUGCUCUCUGAAGACAAAGAUUCCCAUAUGCUGCUCUUACAUGGCUGAGAAAAUGCUGAGGAUCACUAGGAAGGAACAAAAGGAAAUGUUUUCUUCUUGCAGGAAAUGGUGAUAUGUCCUACUUCAUGAAAUUGGCUCCAAAGACCAAGGAACGGAAAGCCAAACCAAUAGGAUAGGCUGUUUCAUGCUGGAUAGAAACAAGCUUUGACUACAUGAGGAAGAAGAGUGGGAGACUGGAGGAAAGGAAGAGAUCCUCCGUAGACCCCCACACCGCUCCGGCGAAACACGCGCCCCAGGCCCACAGAACGCGGCCCGCAGCCCCCUGGGACCAGCCCCGGAGCCUCCGCAGCCCCGGACCAGGUCGUACCUCUCUUCUUGGAGUUCAUGGCUGGCGGGAGCUGCCAGAGGUCUUGGCACAGCAGCUGGGCUGGAAAAGAGCAAAUCUCAACCUCAGCCAGGCUUUUGUUUCCCAUGCGGGAAAUCCUCAUGUGUGACCUUAGCCAUCUCUCUCCCUUUCCAUGGAAGAUGAGUGUUUCAGACUUUCUCCACAAGCCUCAAACAAGCUCAAGUCACUCCCACAUAGAAGAUGAAAACAACCUUGGAAACCAUCCAAAUGCCCAUCAGUAGAUAAUGGAAUGCUAUACAACAAAAAGAAUGGACAAUAUACAACCACAUGCAACGAUGUGGAUGAAUCCUACAGACAUAAUGUUGAGUGAAAAAAACAAGACCACAAAAGAGAAUAUAUGUUUGAGUUCCUUGAUAUAAAGUUCAAAAACAGUUAAACUUAAUCUAUGGUGACAGAAGUCAGAAUAGUAGUGACUAUUAAUAGUAGUGACACUACCCCUGGGGAGUAGUGACUGGAAGGGAGCGCAAGGGGGCUGACAGGGUACUGAUUAUGUUCUGUUUCCUAAUCUGGGUUGUAUUUCCUGAUCCUAUAUGGGUGUGUUCCUUUGUGAAAAUGUCUUCUGAGCUGUACAGUUAGGACAUGUACCCUUUCUGUGUGAAUAUUAUAUUUCAGUAUAAAGUUAACUUUAAAUAAAUAACUACAAAAAAAAAUGACCCCUCUGUGGACUCCCAGCCUCUUUCUAGCUACCC